rnacentral:rRNA from 1 species
GUCCGCACUGUAAACGAUGAUUACUCGUUGCUGGGGAGCAAUUUCCAGUGACCAAGCGAAAGCGAUAAGUAAUCCACCUGGGGAGUACGCCGGCAACGGUGAAACUCAAAGGAAUUGACGGGGGCCCCGCACAAGCGGAGGAGCAUGUGGUUUAAUUCGAUGAUACGCGAGGAACCUUACCAGGGCUUGAAAGUUAGGGAAUGAUCCUGAAAGGGAUCAGUCAGCAAUGACCCGAAACUAGGUGCUGCAUGGCUGUCGU